rnacentral:rRNA from 1 species
AGAGUUUGAUCCUGGCUCAGGACGAACGCUGGCGGCGUGCCUAACACAUGCAAGUCGAACGAGAUUUACUGCUUCACCAAUAGCUUGAACAAGCGCCCAAGCACGAAUGUGCUUCACGCGUUUUUCCAAGUACCAACACAGUUUGAGAAAUUGGUGAAGUAGUAAAUCUAGUGGCGGACGGGUGAGUAACGCGUGAACAAUCUGCCCUAUACAAAGGAAUAGCCUCGGGAAACUGGGAUUAAAACCAUAUAACACUUUUCUUUCGCAUGGAAGAGAAGUCAAAUUGAUUAAGAGGUAUAGGAUGAGUUCGCGUCUGAUUAGCUAGUUGGUGAGGUAAUGGCUCACCAAGGCGACGAUCAGUAGCCGGCCUGAGAGGGUGAACGGCCACACUGGAACUGAGACACGGUCCAGACUCCUACGGGAGGCAGCAGUGGGGAAUAUUGCACAAUGGGCGAAAGCCUGAUGCAGCGACGCCGCGUGAGUGAAGAAGGUCUUCGGAUCGUAAAACUCUGUCCUUGGUGAAGAAAAAAAUGACGGUAGCCAAGGAGGAAGCCCCGGCUAACUACGUGCCAGCAGCCGCGGUAAUACGUAGGGGGCGAGCGUUGUCCGGAUUUACUGGGCGUAAAGGGUGAGUAGGCGGUUGUAUGUGUCAGAUGUAAAAGGCUAUGGCUUAACCAUAGUUGGCAUUUGAAACUGUACAACUUGAGUGCAGGAGAGGUAAGUGGAAUUCCUAGUGUAGCGGUGAAAUGCGUAGAUAUUAGGAGGAACACCAGUGGCGAAGGCGACUUACUGGACUGUAACUGACGCUGAGUCACGAAAGCGUGGGUAGCAAACAGGAUUAGAUACCCUGGUAGUCCACGCUGUAAACGAUGAGUGCUAGGUGUUGGGUAGCGAUAUUCAGUGCCGAAGUUAACACAAUAAGCACUCCGCCUGGGAGA